rnacentral:tRNA from 1 species
GAGGGUACAGCUCAGUGGUAGAGUGUGUGCUUAGCAUGCAUGAGGUCCUGGGUUCAAUCCCCAGUACCCCUU